GACGAACGCUGGCGGCGUGCCUAAUACAUGCAAGUAGAACGCUGAAGGAGGAGCUUGCUUCUCCGGAUGAGUUGCGAACGGGUGAGUAACGCGUAGGUAACCUGCCUGGUAGCGGGGGAUAACUAUUGGAAACGAUAGCUAAUACCGCAUAAGAGUAGAUGUCGCAUGACAUUUGCUUAAAAGGUGCAACUGCACCACUACCAGAUGGACCUGCGUUGUAUUAGCUAGUUGGUGAGGUAACGGCUCACCAAGGCAACGAUACAUAGCCGACCUGAGAGGGUGAUCGGCCACACUGGGACGGAGACACGGCCCAGACGCCUACGGGAGGCAGCAGUAGGGAAUCUUCGGCAAGGGACGGAAGUCUGACCGAGCAACGCCGCGGGAGUGAAGAAGGGUGUCGGAUCGUAAAGCUCGGUUGUAAGAGAAGAACGAGUGUGAGAGUGGAAAGUUCACACUGUGACGGUAGCUGACCAGAAAGGGACGGCUAACUACGUG
rnacentral:rRNA from 1 species